GGUCGGACAUCAGGAGGUUAGUGCAAUGGCAUAAGCCAGCUUGACUGCGAGCGUGACGGCGCGAGCAGGUGCGAAAGCAGGUCAUAGUGAUCCGGUGGUUCUGAAUGGAAGGGCCAUCGCUCAACGGAUAAAAGGUACUCCGGGGAUAACAGGCUGAUACCGCCCAAGAGUUCAUAUCGACGGCGGUGUUUGGCACCUCGAUGUCGGCUCAUCACAUCCUGGGGCUGAAGUAGGUCCCAAGGGUAUGGCUGUUCGCCAUUUAAAGUGGUACGCGAGCUGGGUUUAGAACGUCGUGAGACAGUUCGGUCCCUAUCUGCCGUGGGCGCUGGAGAACUGAGGGGGGCUGCUCCUAGUACGAGAGGAC
rnacentral:rRNA from 1 species